rnacentral:lncRNA from 10 species
AAGAGCUAGACUUCGUCUCAAAAACAAAGCCUCUUUGCCCAUGGCAGCAAGGCUCUGGGGUUUUUACUUUGUUGUUGCCGUUGUUGUUGUAUUACCUUGAGUGUUUAUAAAAACAUCUCAGGUAUUUCUGAGUAAACCAGCUGCUUCUGCUCCACUCGUGAAUUUUGCAGUUUACUGGGUUCUAGCUCCAUGUCAAAUGGUAGCUAUAUAAACAAUCUCCUCUACACAUGUCCUUUACAUGCACAGGAGAGGGCCUGCCUGGUACAGCCUGCCAUCCAUCCAUCAAUCCAUCCAUUCAGAAUAUUUUUAUUAAUGGCUUGCAAUGCAUUGUUCUGGGCAUUGAGGAUAUUACCCUAAACAAGGCAGACAGGAACCCCAUACUAUGAAAAUUACCCUGUAAGAUAGAAGCCUCUUUCCUGACCUCUAGAUGAAGUCCCAGAGGAAGCCUGCCUCUGUCCUUUUGUAGACUUUCUAUAGUUAUAACAGGCUUAGCUGGGGCGGCAUCCUGCUCUGCUGUUAGUUUUCUGUUCCCCACUGCAGCACGGGUGAAUCAGAGCAAGUAAUAAUCAUUGGUUUGUACAGUGCCCAUUUCUAGAUUUUAUUUCAUAAACCUAUGCCCAGUUCACAUCUAGUAAUAGAACGUGCUCAGACACUGUGACUGCUGUGCCAGUCAAAGCCAAGAGACAUUCCUAAUUCAACUGGAUAAUAUUUUAAUGUGUAAAACUUGUGGCUUUUUUUAGACAAGAAACAUAUUAAAAGAAUGCCUAAUUCUAUCCAGUUCAAAGAUUAUAAGAGUUGGAUGCAAAGAUCUACAAUUUAAGGUUCAGAUCUUAAGAUUUGUGAUCUUACAAUUUACGUAUCUUAAGAGCCAAAAAAAUGAAAAAUCCAGUCCAGCAUGGCUGCUUCCUGAGCCCUUGCCUUAACUUGGUACAAUUAGAUAUUGCAGAUUGCAUAUCUAAAAGCCAGUUAAGUAGCAGACUUCCCUGACAGACAAAACUAGGAAAAGCUUCAGUCGAACCUAGUGGACAUCGGAUCACCCCAAAUGGAGGCCAUUUACCCAGCAACUAUGAAAAGAAGCCUGCCAGAACAUUUUAGUUCUACACGACACUCUACUAAUACCCAGGCCAUCUUCUCCAGGCAUUAAGUGCCUUCAACAAGCCAAGAAGGCAACUCCCAUAAUCAAGUAGAAAGGUGAUGCAAACUAAGUAUUUUGUGUCCCUCCAAAAUUCAUAUGUUGAGGCCUAAAUCUCCAAUGUGAUGAUAUUUUAAAGGUGGGGCCUUAGGUAGGUAAUUAGAUUAUGAAUGGGAUUGGUGACUUUAUAAGAGACAUUAGAGAAAUGAUCUCUUUCUCCACCAAGUGAGGGUACAAUGAAAACACUGUCGUCUGUAAACCAGGAAGACGACCUUUGCCAAGACCCUUACUAUGCUGGUGCCAUGAUCUUAGAUUUCCAGCUCCAGAACUGUGAGAAAAGUUUCUGUUAUUUAACACACCCAGUCUAUGGCAAUUUGUUAUAGCAGCUGGAACUGACUAAGACUGAGGGCAAUCCUCAAAAUUCAUCAGGGUAAUACAUUUGCUUCAUAAUAGAUAAGCAUCUUUUUAAAAAAAUUUUUUUGACAUUUUUAUAGAGACACGGUCUCACUGUGUUGACCAGGCUGGUCUCAAACUCCUGGCCUCAAGCAAUCCUCCCAUCUCGGCCUCCCAAAGUGCUGGGAUUACAGGCAUGUGCUAUCAUGACCAGCCAGAUAAGCAUCCUUUAAUUCCCAUAAAUUUUGGAAAUUGAGUUGAUAAAUGCUUAAUAAAAAAAAAAACCUGUAAUCUUUAUAAUUUUGUUAUUAAGGGAUAUGUGAAUAUUUGGAAUUUAAAAAGUCACAUGAGACUUUGGCCUCUUCAUGUAACAGUUCAGCCCUGUAAUUCCACCUUAAAAUAUAUGAUUGAGUUAUUGAUUUAGAGUUUAGAUUUACACAAUUUUAAUGAUAUAAUAUUGGAAGAUUUAAGAGAUUUUAGUGUUCCCAUAGCUGAAUUUGAUUUGUUAGAUUUACAACAGUUAUUUAAAUACUUAGAAAAGGUCUGUUAGCUAAAGCAAGCAACUAAAGUCUAUAAAAGGAAAAUCAAGCACAUUUAAAUCAUAAAUGAAAUUUAAAGUGUUCCAGGCUGUUUAUUUAAGUUUGUGAAAAGGACCAAAUAUUAGUCAAAGGCUGCUUUAAAAAUGAUUGUUAAAAUUUGCUCGAUUUAUAAACAGAAAAAUAAGAUUUAUAAACUGAACUUAAAAGCUUAAAAAGAACUACAUGUGUGGAUUUGUAACAUUAAUUAAUUGAUUAUUAAUUUUUAAAGCGAAAAAACUCAGUAAUCUUUUCUGCACACAAAAACUGCCUUGAAGGAUAAUUUUUAAGCCAUAUUUAACAACCUUCUUGGGAACUCAGUGAGUGAAUGAGGAAAAAGAAUUACGCUCACGAAGAAAAGGUAGAUAAAAUAUAUUUUUAAAAAUAUGGCCCAGAGUUAAAACUAAAUAGUAUGCUUUCACUUACCCUCUCCUACCUUCCAGUAAAUGCAGGAGAAAUGCUACAAGAUAAUGUGGAUGAAGCAAAAGAUCAGAAUUAUUCAACAAUUUUUAUUAUUGAGUACCUACUCUAUGUUUUACACUAUGGGAAAAUGCAAGAAUAUGUGGCAUUUAUAAUCUAGUGAGGCAGGUAAGACUCACAAAUCUGAAACAGAGAACAGAAUGAUUCAGUUCAAUAAACACUUAUUGAGAGCCAGCCUUGCAACAGAUAUAGUGACUGGCUCCAGGGAGGGGGAGGCGGCUGGGCUCAAAAACAAACAAUAAGCUUUAUAAUUAAGUGCUAAAUUGCGUGUUGCAGAAGUCAAGUGAGAAGCAUUCAAAGAGAGAUAACAAAGUCUAUUGGAACAGCUGAGAUUUAUGGAUGAGCCAACCCAGCACAGCUGACCUGAAAAGUGAAGCCACUUAAUAAUGCACCUGGGUUGUUUCCUGAUUGAUUGAUGAUUGAUUGACUGUCAUGCAUAUGGAGAAAUUAGCAGCCAGGCUUGAAACUUGGUAGGAACUGCUCUCCUUUAUCUUUCAUCCUCUGUCAUGGGUUGGUUUUUUUGUUUUUUUGUUUUGGGGGUUUGUUUGGUGGGUUUUGUUUUUGUUUUUGUUUUGUUUUUUUUUUUGAGUCGGAG